rnacentral:lncRNA from 1 species
CUGUCCCCGGCCCUGCUGCAGCCACAGGUCACCGUGGUGGCCACCCUGGGUGAGCUGCUGGACACCGUGCCCAGGGAGGAUGAGGAGAUGCUGAUGCUGCUCGAGUCCCCAAGGUGCCUGUACAGUGAACUGGUGGGCAUCACCGCGGAGUUCCAGGGCACCCUGUGUGCCACUGAUGACACCUGGUGGCACUGCAAUANAUCAAGGCCGCCCUGAAGGGGACAAAUGAGGCAUCCCCUGAUGUCCCGGAGGGCUUGGUGGCCAAGGUGGCCAACGCCCGCCUGGCCAAGGAUCACCUGCUGGGAGCCUUUGAGGACUUCCUCGACUACUAUAGCACGGGUGGUCCCACCAGCCCCAGUGCCUGUGGUGAGGCUGACCGGUGCCAAAGAGCCAUCGAGGACAUCCCAAGGCUCCUUCGACCCCCAGAGUGUCCCCGGAGCGUCCCCAAGAUCUCCCCAGUGAGCAUGGAGCUCCAAGAGGUGUCCCCUCAGCAGCUGCAGGCACUGAUGGCCGUGGUGGCCACCCUGGGCAAGGUGGCGGCUGCUGUGACUUGGCCACACUGGGGCAACUCCCCAGACUUGCACGAGGACCUGAGGAGAUUCACCCAGAGCCUCCAUGCGACCCUGAACCUCAGUGAUAUCACAUCCCUGGCCCACCCUGGUGAUGUCACAUGCCUGGGCCACCCUGGUGAUGUCACAUCCCUGGGCCACCCUGGUGUUCCCUCCCUUGUGGUCAGUUAGGGGCAGGCGAUCGGAAGGUGUCGCGUUGUACGGGCAGACAGAACCGCUCCUCUCUGCUGUUAAAGUGUGUUGAGCACCACCCAGCCCCAGCUUGUGUCAGUAAUGCUGACAGUCAAUAA